CCAAUGGCGCCGCUGCCCAAUCCCGAGCACCAGCAACGCCCCUCGCUCCCUCCUGGCCCACCGGCUAGCAAGAACUCUCCGCCGCUCCCUCGGGCCCUAUAAAAGGAGUAAAGGAGCCGCCGGAAGAGCCCUCCACACCCCUUCGCUGUUUUUCUCCCCGCCGCCUCUGUUUCUCACGCCGCCACCCACCUCGCCAUGAAGAGCUUCCCUCCGCCGGCCAAACCCCCUUGCCACCACCCGUUUGCACACCGCUAGUGGCCCCCGAAGCUCUAGCCGCCGCCAGACGACUGCCCGAGGCCGCCCCGCUGCCGAAACACCUCAAGCCGCCGCGACCGUGCCCGAGCUCAUCGCCGCCACCGUGUUCCGACCCUCACCGGCCAUCUCUGUUGCCCCAACCUCGCCAAGUCGAGCUCAGGUGAGCCCAUACGCACCCCCGACCACUUGUCGCCCGACCCCCUCCGGCGAAUCGCCGAAAUCGGCCGCCGCCCGCCACCGUGCGCCGCCAAGGGCAUGGGUGUAAUCGUGAAAGUAGAUUUAGGGUGUGAAUGCUAAAAUCGAGGGUAUGGCUGUGAUUUCUGAAAAGUCUGUAGGGCCCCUAUGCAAAUGUGAUUCAGUUAAUUAAUAAAAAUUGGCAGGAAAUAGGAUAAAUUUGGGAAUGCCCAGUAAAUCAGGAAAAAUCAGAAAAAUACGAAAUAAAUUUUGUUGGAAUCCUUGUUCUGUGUAGGUUUUUUAAAAAAUAAGUUUUCCCAUGUUACUAUUGUAAAUAAUAUCCUAUAGUUUUAUUUCUUGCUUAGACCUUUUAAAUCAUAGUAAAUAGAAGAAAAAUGCUAAAAGGGUAAAUCUAACUCUGUGGUGUAUGUUUCAGUUAGUAGAAGCUCAGAAAAAUACUUUGUGCCCUGGAGUAGAACUUAAUGUCUCUGUUUUAACCUUAUAUUUGAGAUCUAGGGUUAAAUCUUUCUUUUUGCAUAAGUUUUAAUCCAAAGCUGAGAAAAAUGUGAAACCACUUGGAGUAGCUUAGUUUUGCAGUAUAGUUUGUAGGAAAAUUAUGGGUUGAGGUCCAAAUCAGAAAGAAAUCCACCUUCCUUAUAGAACAUGAUAAAUAGGAGAUAAAUAUGGGAAAUAGAUGUCCUUCUCCAAAAAUUAUGAAA
rnacentral:lncRNA from 1 species